rnacentral:lncRNA from 1 species
AAACAUUAGGAGCAUAAAAAAUCCAAAUGGAAAAAAAGAUAGCAAAAGCUACCCAACCUACUAGAUCCUUUACAUAAAAAUAAGGGUAAAAAGAUAUUUGAUCCAUCUCUGAAUGUACACCCAAUGGAUUAUUUGAUCCAUAUUGAUGCAAUGCGGCCAGAUGAAGAAGACUGGUGCGUACUAAAAUAAAGGGGAGUAAAUGAUGAAGACUAAAAAAAACGAUUUAAGGUGGCAUUGUCCACAGAGAAACCACCCCAAAGCCAAGUAACUAUGGUAUCUCCUACUACAGGUAUGGCGCUAGCUAAGCUUGUAAUUACUGUAGCUCCCCAAAAGCUCAUCUGACCCCAAGGUGGUACGUAUCCUGUAAAAGCUGUCACAAUCAUUAAUAGGAAGAUUACAACUCCGAGACACCGAACAAAUUCCCUAGGACUGCUAUAACUCGCAUGAUAUAGACCACGAAAAAUAUGAAGGUGAACCACAAUGAGAAACAUACUUGCCCCAUUAGCAUGCAUAUAACGGAGCAACCAGCCCCCUUCAACAUCUCUCAUAACGUGUUCUACGCUGUUGAAAGCUAGAUCCACAUGAGGUGUGUAAUGCAUAGCUAAAAAAACGCCAGUCACUAUCUGAAUUACUAAACAAAUACCAGCUAACGAACCGAAGCCCCACCAAUAACUGAGAUUGCUCGGGGUUGGAUAAUCUAUCAAAUGUUGAUUAAGUGUGGAGGAUAUAGGUUGUUUUAGAAGAGAUAAUCGUUGGUUCCUUAUAGUCAUUUUUAUCUCUUUCCUAUCGUGACAACUCUGGUUCCCCCAUCUUUUUUCGUUCUGGGGCCCUACUUAAAAAGAAGAAAUAAUCAAUUAUUUAUAGUACAUUUUAUUUCUACCACCUCCAAAGGAUGGAUGGGGUAUACAACGAAAGAAGCGAGCGUCGAAGGGGUCAUCCUGGGUUACUGAAGAGUCGUUCGACUGCUCGGUGACCGAAUCUGAGGGGUUUUUACCGCUUUCUCUUCUCCCCAGCACUCUCGGACUGAUCAUCUUACUGCAACAAAGCAAGCUUAGGAAUGAAUCUAAUGGAAAUUUAGGUCUCUGUCCGCUUGGAAGAUUAUUCUUUCCUCUUCGGUGAAAGAGGGCAAAGGUGUGUGGGAGAAAGAAUUCUAAAAGGAGAGAAGAUUUCGUCCACCAAACGGGACAAAGUGCGACCCCUAAGCAAUUGGAGGUUCUCGUCCAUCUCUUGGGGGUGGGGGUCCAUAUCAGCUGAAAACUUUUCCUGUUCGAUUAACAUAGCUAAAUUUGAAUAGGAUGACUCAGCGUCAGGAAAAGUCAAGUAAGUAAGCCCCCCUUUUGCCUUGAAAUAAUUUGGUUUCGCUGCGCCCUGAAUCAAUCAAAAAGCUUUUUUUUUGAAUUAAUCCCAUUUUUUUUGGGCGAGAGGGAGGCUGUGAGUCGCCUGGGCUACGGAUUUGUCGGUUGGUUGAUUCUCGAAAUCACCUCUUGAGAAAAAAAAGGUCCCCGGGUCCCGACCCAAAAAUGAAUAGGAAGCGGGGCGGGCGAGGGUCUUUCAUUAAAGGGGGGAAAAGAGGGGUGGGGCCGCCUUGCGCAGCUUUAGAAAGGAGGAAAAAAAAAAGGCCCCCGGGUCCCGACCCAAAAAUGAAUAGGAAGCGGGGCGGGCGAGGGUCUUUCAUUAAAGGGGGGAAAAGAGGGGUGGGGCCGCCUUGCGCAGCUUUAGAAAGGAGAUAAUUUCAUAAAGUAACUCUCUCCAACCUAAAGAAUUUUCUUUGUUUUCGGAUAGGUCAUGAAAGGGGAGGGAAGGCUGGGCAUCUAUUAUUGAAUUAAUUCUAUCGAGUUGUGGUUGUUGACCAACAAAUUAUGCAUGGGAGUGGAGCUCGCCUUAGCGAGCGAAACACGCGACAUAACAUAAAGGAGAGUAUGAAAGUGAAAGCGGCUGGAUAGCUGCCCUGUUUAUAAAGGAUCUACAAGGAGAGAUCUAUAUAGAAUUAGGUUUCCACUUUCCCUAUCUCGGAGCCCUAGGGCUAGGGUGAGGCUGGGAGGUUUGCGAAACACUCCGCCGACACCGAUGUCGCCAGCAAGCUUCAUGCUCUCUCGAUGAUCGGGUUCUGCCCCCGAGAUUGGAUUGAAGCAUGUUGGUGGUGAAUGAGGACUUCGAACUCACUGUGUUGUGUUAAGUAUAUAAUUUCGAGCCCUCAAUCUGUUGGGCCCUUCGUGGCCCCGUUAGCUGGCUUGCCAAUCAACUCACCCGCCUUCCAACUGUCAACAGGAACAGGAAAGGCCCGCGACGAAUGACCCGUUCAUCCUUUUCUAAAGUCGUUGUCUGAAUAAGCGAGCUUCCGCAUUUCAAAGGGGGGAAGGGCCUCUCUGUCAUAGGCGGCCGGAGGUGUCGCCUGGGAUGAAGCGCUACUUCACUUCACUUAUGUUAUUUGUUGAGGGACAACAGAAAUGAAAAAGCGAGAUAGGGGGUCUGGGGGAGGCCCCCAUAAUAUGAGUACUCUUUCAGUCAAGUAAUAGGCAGCCUUUAGGAAUCCAUGCCUUAAAAGGGCUCUAGCAUGGAGGUUCUCGUCCAUCUCUUGGGGGUGGGGGUCCAUAUCAGCUGAAAACUUUUCCUGUUCGAUUAACAUAGCUAAAUUUGAAUAGGAUGACUCAGCGUCAGGAAAAGUCAAGUAAGUAAGCCCCCCUUUUGCCUUGAAAUAAUUUGGUUUCGCUGCGCCCUGAAUCAAUCAAAAAGCUUUUUUUUUGAAUUAAUCCCAUUUUUUUUGGGCGAGAGGGAGGCUGUGAGUCGCCUGGGCUACGGAUUUGUCGGUUGGUUGAUUCUCGAAAUCACCUCUUGAGAAAAAAAAGGUCCCCGGGUCCCGACCCAAAAAUGAAUAGGAAGCGGGGCGGGCGAGGGUCUUUCAUUAAAGGGGGGAAAAGAGGGGUGGGGCCGCCUUGCGCAGCUUUAGAAAGGAGAUAAUUUCAUAAAGUAACUCUCUCCAACUUUUUCUAUCUAUCCUUAGAAGUUGGGCGAGAUAAAGUAAAUAUGAUAUUUCCAUUGGUUUUUCCAACGAAACUAAGCACUUUUUUUUUCUUUAUCAUUCAGAAGUCUCAGUCCCACACUCUGACUUCAAUGAUGGGAACAACCCCCGGACUCCGGCGCUCCAAUGAACAACAGUUCUCCGCCUUACUUUAUUUAGAAUAGUGGUCGUCCCUCGAGAGUUACAUUUGUAACUUAAUGUUAUGUUCACGUUCACGCGGUGAUAUUAUAUCCAAUCCAAGAGUACUACCUUGUACGUAGUCUAUGUCUGGGGUGCAUACUUGACAGGAGAUAGACACAGGCGGUAGAUAGGUCCCCCAGUUCGACUCCUGCCCCGUUAGCAUCUCCGAUCUGAGAUAAGGGAUUACUCCGUUAGGUCUUUUCGGUCCUGAGCCGGCCGGUAAUGGACCUACUUACCUUGCUUGUGGACCAGCUGCAGAGCUAACCCUUGUUUUAUGGGUUUGGCGGUUGCUACCAAGAUGAUUUCUUUAUGCCCAUCAAAGGACCUCGAGAUGCUAAUCCAUGAAAAACGAUACGAGAAAUUCAAAAGAACUCAUAUACGGAACAAAGGCGACCCGUGAAAAUACAUCCAUUUCUUACUCGUGCAAAGGAACUAUUUCUUGGCAACUUGGACAACUUAUAACGAAGUUUGUCCCGCAUAUCACUAGGAAGAUCGGAAUCUUUACAAAAGGCUUUAUAAAGCUUUCGUCUCAAUUCAUAUUUAGCCGCGAGCAAUCUGCGUUUGUGAUCUCGUAUAUUUCGCUUCUCCGACAUCUCUUACUGAGUUUCUCCCACAUCUUUUUGCAAAAAGCCGCUCCACGGUGGUACGGAACACAUUCUAAUUCCCACUGAAGCUAGUACGCAAUGAAGACCAAUCCGCGAGCUAAACUAGAACAUAAAAUAGCAGACAAGCUUGCGUCUCCGUCUUGGCUAGAAUCCUUCCACUCUUUCUCCUACAAGCCACUCAUGCAUGCCGUCUAGCUCUACUUAUUCUUUCUACGAGAUAUCUUGUUCUUGGAGUAGCUGAGGAAGGAAAUUUACAUUGCGAAGAAGUAGCUCUAUGCUCUGGGGAAGGCUAAUAUGAUGACAAGAUGGCCAUACUAUAUAUUUGGUAUUCGUGGGAAUCAGAUUCAUUUUUAGCGGAGAUCCUUUCGUAUCGGGUGAAAUCAGAGCUUGAGUGUCUGGACUCUAGGCGUUCGAGCUACCGUUUUUUAAUAAGGGCCUUAAAUUUAAAUAAAAGGAUAUUUUACUUACUUAUCUUUUUAGCCCGACGAAGAAGUUAUAUAGAUACUGGGAAAGCACUCACCAAUACGCGAAAAAAUGGAUUUUACAGCGCUUUUUUUAAGCCAUUUACAGCGCUUUUUCAAAAAAAUAAGCGUUGUGGAAACGAGCGCUGUAAAUGAUACAACAGCGCUUUUAAAAAAGCGCUAUAAAACAUGUAAAUACAACGCGCGCUUGUUAUGCACAUUUUACAGCGCCUCUUCACAAAAAGCGCAGUAAUAUGCACCCCAUUAUAUGAGUUAUGGGUGUGCAUUUUACAGCGCUUUCUCAACAAAGCGCUCUAAAAUGCACACCCAUAACUCAUAUAUGGGUGGGCAUAUUACAGCGCUUUUCUUGUACAUUUUACAGCGCUUUCUCACGAAUGCGCUGUAAAAGGUGCACCAUUAAAGCGCUUUAGAACAACAUUUUACAGCGCUUUUUAAAAAAAGCGCUGUAAAAUGCGUGUUUUCUUUUUUUUUUAAACGCUGUAAAUUAAUUAUUUGAAAUGAAAAGCGCUUUUUAGCUUUUUAUGGCAUUUUUUUAAAAAAGCGCUGUCUUUUAUCUUUGUAUCCAAAAUCACUUCACAAUCAGUAGAACAGAACAUAUUAUAGACAAUCAGUAGAACAAAACAUAUUAUAGACAAUCAGUUCACACAAUCAGUAGAACAGAAAUCAGAACUCUGUAACUUUAUUAACAUAUAUGUAACUCUGUAAUUUACAACCUAAGUAACUACAUUCAGAUACAUAUAUACAACCUAAUUUACAACCUAAUUACCUACAUUCAGAUACGUAUAUAUAUAUAACCUAAUUUACAACCUAAACUACAUUCAGAUCCAUUAUAUAAUAACUAACAGAUCCAUUAUAUGCAUAUAUUGUGUCCUAUGAUCAUUUACAUAUAAUAACUAACAGAAUAUACAUUAUAUGCACUAGCUACCAUAUAAUAUUCAGAUCCCUUGCCCAGCAGCAAGCUAUUUCCCAGAAAAUCAAAUAAUUUUCAUGUCAAGCACGUACUGACACCACUCCUUCUUUGUUAACACGCGCUUCCUUCCAUAAGAUAUGACGACCCAAGGGUUGAUCGGCUUGGGUGUCUUUUCUCUAUUCGUUAAAAUCAUAAACAAAAUAAUACAAAUUAGUUACACACUAUAGUUUAUAAUACAAAUUACUUCAUUAUAUAAAAGUGAUGUUUAAUUACUUACAAUUUGUUGUUCAAGGCGUGCAUAUCCCAUACGUGAUUUCUUGUAUGGGUGUUUUGGGUUGCUUGCCCGUUCGCGAUUUGCCUUACUAAUAUUCUAUAUAAAAAAAAAAUAGCAAUUGUGUAAAAAUUUAAAAUACGCUACGAAUAUGAAUAAUAAAACACAAAUGCUAAUAAAUUAAUAACUUACGACAAACGCCGGGUCAGAACGUUUGGAAACAAAUGCACUCCAUUCAUCCUUUGAUAUAUAAUGUUGAUAUAUCUUUGGAGGUUCAGCAUUUGUGUUUCCUUCUCUAUCUUUUAGAUAGAAAUUUGAGAGAUGGGAUCUAAAUCCACGAUGGAUUUUCCCAGCAACUCUCAAAACAUAUGACUUUCGUUCCUCAUCAAGAACAAAAGUGGUCUGCAAUGAAAACAAUCAUAAGUAAUGUAUUUUACAGAAAAAAAAAUUAUAAAUGACAAAAGAGUAGAUCAAAAUAUUUACUUGAAUGUCAUUCCAGAUGAUAUCUUUGGCAUCCUUCAACGCCUUAUCUCUCCAGUUGUCUAUUGUUAUUGGGACAUUUUGACGAACAACAGCCCCAAUGUAGCUUACAAACAUGGAGCUGUUGGGGUCAACUGGCUGACCACUCUCGUUCCAGCCAACCUAAUAAACUCAUAUAGUAAGUACAUGCCCUAAACCCUAAAAAAAGAUAAAAAUCACACAGCAAACAAAGUAUAGUAUACCUCAAAUUUAAUCCCACUACUCCUUGCUUUAAUCACCUUUUGCAUUAUAGUUGCACCACGUUUGACUUCUUUUUCAUAAGUCUUGGAGGUGCCAACUUCUUCAUUUUGAACUUCUAUAUCUUUGUUUGUAUCCAUUUAACUACAACAAGUUCAACAUGCACUUUAGUAUAACAUCAACAAGCUCAACAUGGAUCAUGCAUUAUUAUAAACAAACUCAACAUGUAUCAGUAUAUCUUAAAAAAGCUCAACAUGCAUUCUAAUGAUUACAAAAAUUUAAUAACAUCAAUACCUGAAUAAUGAUGGUUCGAAGAAAGACGAAAUGCAAAGAAAAGAGGGUUUGCAGAAAGUUCACAGAAAUAUGGUUCACAGAAAUACGGUUUGAAGAAAUACGUAAUGAGGGUUACGUAUUUCAAUGAAAAUAUAUUGUGUGAAAUGGGAGAGAUGAUCUUGGAUGGAAAUAAGGUUCGAAAUGAAGGAGAUGAUCGUGGAAAUAAGGUUCGUAAAGGACGGGAUGAUAGGGUUUGCAAAAGAAGAGAAGAAAUGAAGGUUGAGAUGAAGGUUACGUAAUGAAGAGGAAACUGAAGAGGUAACUGUUAUAUAUACGUAACACUUUUACAGCGCUUUUUAUAAGCCUUUUUACAGCGCUUUUUUUGUAAAGCGCUCUAAAAGGCUUCUUUAGUUAAAUUCUUAAAAGGCUCUUUUACAGCGCUUUUGACAAAUAAGCGCUGUAAAAGACCUCCGUGUGUUAUUAUGUUAUUUGAAUGCCUUUUACAGCGCUUUUUUCAAAUAAGCGCUGUAAAAGACCUCCGUGUGUUAUUAUGUUAUUUGAAUGUUUUUUAAAGCCUUUUACAGCGCUUUUUACACAUAAGCGCUCUAAAAUGUCUCUUUAUGUUAAUUUUAAGAGGCUCUUUUACAGCGCUUUUUCCAAAUAAGCGCUGUAAAAGACCUCCGUGUGUUAUUAUGUUAUAUUAAUGUUUUUUAAAGCCUUUUACAGCGCUUCUUACACAUAAGCGCUCUAAAAUGUCUCUUUAUGUUAAUUUUAAGAGGCUCUUUUACAGCGCUUUUUCCAAAUAAGCGCUGUAAAAGACCUCCGUGUGUUAUUAUGUUAUAUUAAUGUUUUUUAAAGCCUUUUACAGCGCUUUUCCACAUAAGCGCUCUAAAAUGUCUCUUUAGGUUAAUUUUAGAAGGCUCAACAUGCAAAACCCACAUAGUAGUAACUGGUCACCACCAAAAUCCCUUCAUCUUCACCAAACUCUUCUCCUUUUAUGCAUCUUCUUCACAAACAUCAAAGCUUACUCUUUCACAAUUCAAUCUCCACCUCAACACCCUUUUUAUCUCUUUCCAUUCUCUUUCCUUCUUAAAUCGAAACUUAAUUGGUAUUCAGGAUCAUUGCCAUGUUGCGAAAAAUGGGUUUGUGUCUGAUGUUUUUGUUAACAAUGUGUUUUUGGGUAUUCCCAUGAUGCGUACAAGGUGUUUGAUGAAAUGGGUUAAUGUCUGAUGUUUUUUGGAUUCCCAUGAUGCGUACAAUGUGUUUGAAGAAAUGGGUUUGUGUCUGAUGUUUUUUGAAUCCCAUGAUGCGUACAAGGUGUUUGAAGAAAUUAGGUGUCUGAUGAAUAUUAUUUUUAAAGCCAUUUGACAGCGCUUUGGCAAACAAGCGCUGUAAAAUGUCUUUUUUACUCACUUUCAAAAGAGUCGUUUACAGCGCUUUGUGUGGAAAGCGCUGUAAAAGGUAUAACACACUCAUUAUUUUAUUUUUAAAAUGAUCGUUUACAGCGCUUUUUCCAAAUAAGCGCUGUAAAAGACCUCCGUGUGUUAUUAUGUUAUUAUGUAUCUUUUAGGUUAAUUUUAGAAGGCUCUUUUACAGCGCUUUUUCCAAAUAAGCGCUAUUAUUGUUUUUGUGUUUUGUUAUGUUAUUUUUUAAACAAGCUCAACAUGCAAAACCCACAUAGUAGUAACUGGUCACCACCAAAAUCCCUUCCUCUUCACCAAACUCAUGUGUUUUGUUUUAUUGUUUUAUUUUAUUUUUGUGUUUGGUUUAUUUGGGUUGGGAUGACAUUAAAAACCUUUUUAUCAGUUCAGUUCAGAAAAUAAAUUAAUCAGAACUUAGUAUAAAACACUCAAUUCAGAUUACAUGCAUGAAUUAUUAGAAAUGAGAAUCUCUCUAUUCAGUUCAGUUCAGUUCAGUUCAGAAAAUAAAUUAAUCAGAACUUAGUAUAAAACACUCAAUUCAGAUUACAUGCAUAUUUACAAUAACACAGUUCAGAUUACAUGCAUAGCUUAUAUAAAACAAUUAAACAUAUAUAUACAGUUCAGUUGAAUCAAUUCAGAUUACAUGCAUAUUUACAAUAACACAGUUCAGAUUACAUGCAUAGCUUAUAUAAAACAAUUAAACAUAUAUAUACAGUUCAGUUGAAUCAAUUCAGAUUACAUGCAUAUUUACAAUAACACAGUUCAGAUUACAUGCAUAGCUUAUAUAAAACAAUUAAACAUAUACAUUAAGAUGCCCUUCUUCUUUUCCUGGUGACAUUCACAUUUGUUUGUCCAUUUACAAUACGAAACGAUGGAUUAAUCCAAAUUCCCUCAUCAUGAUCAUCUCUAAGAUAUAAACCAUCAUCAGUUGAAUCAAUUUCAUGUGGUUGUUGUGAUGUUGCAAAUAAAAGAUCAUUACCAACAUCUUCAUCAUUAUUGUUAUCAUCACUUAUUUUAUUGGUCGAUAGGACAACAGACCAUUUAUCAUUAGAAGGAUCAGUGACAUAAAACACUUGUUGAGCUUGCGACGCUAAAAUAAAAGGCUCGUCUUUGUAUCCCACCCUAUUAAAAUCGACAAGCAAGAAUCCUGACUCAUCAAUCCGAACGCCAUUAUUAUUAUCGACCCACUUGCAACCAAAUAUAGGAACACGAAACAUUGUGUAGUCUAACUCCCAUAUGCGCUCGAUAACCCCAAAAUAUGAUAGAUUUGCAUAUAUUGGGUUUUUGUCUUUUGCACUUGAGACAUGCAUCGCUUCAGCUACGAGAGUGACUCCACUAUUUUGCAUAGUGGUCUGAUCAUCUUGUUCUUUGGUAUAAAAUGUGUAGCCGUUAAUAACAUAACCAGUGUAAGAAAAGACAUGUAAGCUCGGACCAUUUGCUAGCCACCUCAAUCUAUUUGAAAUUGAUCCGGGGUCUAUAUCAAAUUUUGACAUUAUGUGAUUUUUUAACCAUGUUACAAAACUUCGAUUGUGCUCUCGAGUUAUCCAAUUUUGAUUCCUAUUCAUGUUCAAACGAGAUAACUGAUCAAUGUGUAUUGUAACAUACGGUUGAACCUCAUCAUCAUUGUGCAGAACAUACAAUUGUGCCUGCUCCCAUUCUGUCCUUGAUAUAGUCAGUAGUCUCCUUCCAGUUAUCCCUUCUCCUGAUAGUCUUCCCGAAUGACGAGACAUGGGAAGCCCUAUGGAUUCAACAUUGGACAGAUAUUCAGUACAAAAUUCAGCAGCCUCUUCAACAAUGUAUCGUUCAGCAAUACAACCUUCUGGUCGACUUCUACUUUUUACGUACCCUUUUAAUAUUUUCAUAUAUCGUUCUAUCGGAUACAUCCAUCUCAUAUAAGCUGGCCCACAAAGUUGUGUCUCCUUAACCAGAUGAACAGUAAGGUGAACCAUUAUAUCAAAAAACGAUGGUGGGAAAUACAUUUCAAGCUCACACAAAGUAACAACAAUUUCCCUCUGCAAUGUCGGUAAUUUCUGAGGGUCGAUCACUUUACUACAAAUUUCCCUGAAGAAGAAACAUAAUCUAGUUAAGGCUAGUCGAACUUUUUCAGGUAAAAUGGAACGUAUACCUAUUGGUAGCAAAUGCUCCAUUAUAAUAUGACAAUCAUGGGUCUUCAAACCUUUUAACUUGAGGUCUUUCAUACAAACCAAAUUUUUAAUGUUCGAAGAGUAUCCUUCUGGAACUUUAACUUCGUGUAGAAAUUUACAUAAAACAAUUUUUUCCUUUCUAGAUAGAGUAUGAGCGGCUGGAGGUAGAUAUGUGCGAUUUCCUUUCUUUACUGGAGCCAGUUCAUUUCUUAUUCCCAUAUCGACCAAGUCCAAUCUUGCAUUGACGCCAUCUUUAGACUUUCCUGGAACAUUGAGUAACGUACCAAUAACACUUUCAAAUACAUUUUUUUCAAUAUGCAUCACAUCGAGGAAAUGUCUUACAUACAAUGACUUCCAAUAUGGCAAUUCAAAGAAAAUUGACUUUUUCUUCCACCCAGUUUUCACCAGCUCUCCCGCAAAAGGUUUGCCAAAUUUAUUGGUCAAACCUUGUACUUUUUCAAGUAUUUGAUAUCCAGUCGGUGCUAAAGGAGCUUUACCUUCCUCUGAUUUUCCAUUGAAUGCAUUUCUCCACCCACGAUACUGAUGACUAUAAGGUAAAAAUCUACGAUGUCCAAGAAACACAUUCUUCUUACAAUGUUUCAACCGCAUCCAAUUUGUACUCUCUUCACAUAUAGGACAUGCACACUGACCUUUAAUGCUAUAUCCUGAUAAAUUACCAUAUGCUGGAAAAUCAUUAAUUGUGCCGAACAACAUAGCCCUCAAAUUGAAACACUUUUUCCUAUACCCAUCAUAAACUUCCACACCUGUCUCCCACAGAAUUUUUAAAUCUUCAAUUAAAGGAGUCAAGUAUACGUCGAUAUCAUUCCCCGGUUGUUUGGGUCCAGAAAUUAACAGAGACAACAUCAUAAACUUACGCUUCAUACAUAACCAUGGAGGUAGGUUAUAUAUUACCAAAAUCACAGGCCACGUGCUAUGUGAGAUGCUUUGAAGACCAUGUGGAUUCAUUCCAUCAGUAGAAAGUGCAAGUCUUAGAUUUCUUGACUCUAUCCCGAAUUCAGGAUACUCGUGAUCAAUUUUUGCCCAUUGUGGGGAAUCUGCAGGGUGUCGAAACAUUCCAUCUCUAAUUCUUUCAUCUGCAUGCCAUGUCAAGUGUUUUGAAUCUUCUUCACUGCGAUACAUGCGCCUAAAUCUUGGUAUUAUAGGAAAAUACCACACGACUUUUGCUGGAGUAGAUUCUUUCUUCUUAUAUCGAGAGACAUUGCAUUUCGGACACGCCUUAAGUAGUUCAUAUUCGUUUCGAAAUAAAAUGCAAUCGUUAGGACACGCAUGAAUCCUUUCGUAACUCAUUCCAAUAGAACACAAAAUCCGUUUAGCCUCGUAGGUUCGACUGGGAAGUUCAUUAUCAUCUGGCAACAUAUCUUUUAUGAGUGUUAAUAAUUCCGUAAAGCUUUUAUCAGACCAUCCAUUACUCGCUUUUAAGUUGUACAACUUUAAUAUCGCUGACAGUCUUGUGAAUUUAGUACAACCAUUAUAUAAUUCUUUCUCUGCAUCACUCAACAAACUUUCAAACAUUUUAGGACAAUCUCGAAGAUCUUCUUCAACUGCUUUUGCAAUCUCAUCAACUCGGUCCGGCUCAUAUGUAUCUGUAUCGAAAUCAGUUGAAGCAUAUGUAGAACUAUUCUCAAAAUUAAUGUUUCCUUUUUUUUUCUCACCAUGUCUUAUCCAACAUGUGUAGCUUUGAUCAAUUCCAUUACAUACUAGAUGUCCUUCUAAUUCAUCUUCUCUAACACGUUUUCCAAAACAACAUUUUAAACAAGGACAAACUACUCUAUUUGGAUCUUUUGCAUUCUUCACUGCAAACUCAACAAACUCCUUCACUCCAAUUUCAUACUCUUUUGACAAUCGAUUGGCUGAAAUCCAUUUCCUAUCCAUAUUAUACCACCUAUAUAAAUGCAGUAACAAAAAUAAUAAGCUUUCAAAACAUAUCAACAAGUUUCAAAAAGAAACCAAUAUCAACUAACAAUUUCAAAACAGAACAGAUCAUGUGGUAUGAGUUUUUGACAAUUUUUGACAAUUUCAAAACAGAACAGAUCAUGUGGUAUGAGUUUUUGACAAUUUUUGACAAUUUCAAAACAUAACAGAUCAUGUGUAAAAAAUACCUUAGACAACGUAGAUGGCCGCACAGUACGUAGAGGAUAUUAGGGUUCCCAACGUAUAUAAUUAUUUGAAAGAUGUAGAGGAUAUGAGGGUUUCCAACGUAUAUAAUUAUUUGAAAGAUGUAUUUUACAGCGCUUGUGAAAAAAGCGCUAUAAUAGGUAGUUAAAUUCAAUGAAAGCGCAUGUGUUUUACAGCGCUUGUGAAAAAAGCGCUGUAAUAGGUAGUUAAAUUCAAUGAAAGCGCAUGUGUUUUACAGCGCUUGUGAAAAAAGCGCUGUAAUAGGUAGUUAAAUUCAAUGAAAGCGCAUGUGUUUUACAGCGCUUGUGAAAAAAGCGCUGUAAUAGGUAGUUAAAUUCAAUGAAAGCGCAUGUGUUUUACAGCGCUUGUGAAAAAAGCGCUGUAAUAGGUAGUUAAAUUCAAUGAAAGCGCAUGUGUUUUACAGCGCUUGUGAAAAAAGCGCUGUAACUGAUUCGCGAAAGCGCUUCCGUUUACAGCGCUUUUUUGACAAGCGCUGUAAAAGCCUUAUAACGUGAUGCGCAAACGUUAUAUGACCUACUACAGCGCUUGUUUUACAGCGCUUUACAUAAAAAGCGCUGUAAUAGGUUCCGUUAUUUUUAAAAUAUAAUUACAACAGCGCUUGUGUUUAGAAAGCGCUGUAAAAUGGGCGCUGUUAAAUGUCAUUUCUGACGUAGUGCGUAAAUUCGUUUUAAAUUUGUUUUUAUUUAUUUAAAGUAAAUGAUUUUUAUUUAAAGUGAAUGAUUUUACAACGCUUGUAAAAAACACGGUCUAAUAGGUCAUUUAAUUAUUUGAAAGCGCAAGUCUUGCAAGUCUUUUACAGCGCUUGUAAAAAUAGCGCUCUAAUAGGUCAUUUAAUUAUUUGAAAGCGCAAGUCUUGCAAGUCUUUUACAGCGCUUGUAAAAAUAGCGCUCUAAUAGGUCAUUUAAUUAUUUGAAAGCGCAAGUCUUGCAAGUCUUUUACAGCGCUUGUAAAAAUAGCGCUCUAAUAGGUCAUUUAAUUAUUUGAAAGCGCAAGUCUUGCAAGUCUUUUACAGCGCUUGUAAAAAUAGCGCUCUAAUAGGUCAUUUAAUUAUUUGAAAGCGCAAGUCUUGCAAGUCUUUUACAGCGCUUGUAAAAAUAGCGCUCUAAUAGGUCAUUUAAUUAUUUGAAAGCGCAAGUCUUGCAAGUCUUUUACAGCGCUUGUAAAAAUAGCGCUCUAAUAGGUCAUUUAAUUAUUUGAAAGCGCAAGUCUUGCAAGUCUUUUACAGCGCUUGUAAAAAUAGCGCUCUAAUAGGUCAUUUAAUUAUUUGAAAAUAAUGGGGCUAGAAGCAAUAGGAAUAAGACAUGUUGCGAAGAAUACUAGUUAAUUGGAAUGCCCAAGUUGGCAUCUUCUACCGGGAUCUCUCCUAAUGGCUGUAUUAGAUUUUGAGUACCUAUUGAUGGAAGAAUUUCAGGGCAUUCCACUUACAGCGAGGAAGGGAAGAUUAGUUAUGAAUCACUUACACCAUCUUGGCUUUAAAUGCAAAUUCUUUCGAUUAAAUGCUCGAAUCUUAGUCUCAAACCUGACGAUAAGACUUUACAAUUUAUUGCCUUUAUGUUAUGUAUCCCGGUGCUGUUAUGGGCUCCCUCUUAGGAUGAUUCUAAGAAACCACAACUGAUGUUACUUAACUAGUAGGCUAGAAGCCCUUUCUUCCUGUCUGUGCGAAUCUAAUAGCCAAACAACCCAUAGAAAGGUUCAUGCAACGCGAAAUGAAUAUAAACCCUUCUCGCUCUAACAAUGUGUGAGCAGCCAUGGCUCUCUCUUUGACGGUUACUUCUUGAGAUAACUAAAAAAAGGCGUAAAGCCAGCCCUCCAUUAGCAUAGGAGAACCUGAUUCCAGCCAUACUCUUAGAAUAGAAAGUAACUUCUAUCUUUAGACUUGUUAGGAGUAGACAGGCUUUAGGCAUAGGCAACCUAGCUUACUCGUUUUGAUAGUUUCCGCUAUGACUAUGUUAUGUAUGUAAUUACGGUCUUUGUUGGAUAUUGUUUAACCUAACCGUAGACUUUCUUAGCAAUACUCUUAGAAUAGAAAGUAACUUCUAUCUUUAGACUUGUUAGGAGUAGACAUGCUUUAGGCAUAGGCAACCUAGCUUACUCGUUUUGAUAGUUUCCGCUAUGACUAUGUUAUGUAUGUAAUUACGGUCUUUGUUGGAUAUUGUUUAACCUAACCGUAGACUUUCGAUUUUAUUUUUCAACCCAUUCAUAGGACCACCGCCUACCGCAUUCUUGCCCCGGCCUUUUAUUUCGCCCGACACAAUGGAUUCGUCAUGGGGAACCCUAGCUUGAGGCUUGCUUGUCUCAAUCAAUUUGAUUGCUUUAACUAGUCAUGCUAUGGAGAAUUCCCAUUGAGAGCCAACUGCUUCAUGCGUGGGGAUUCUGAUUGUGUGUGGCCGUGUUUCCUAUUCAUUGAGUAAAGGGCCGCGGUAGAUUAGACCCGCAAGGCUUUCAUCGGAGCACAUCGCUUUCGCUCCAUAGUUUCUUAGUGGAAGAGGACCUUUCUCGAUCAACUAUCUUACUUGAAUGAAGAAAGAAGUCAACUUUCUAUACCAAAUUAUCUGAAUAGCCGAAUAAAGGAAUUUUUUGCUUGAUAGCCACUCCCCUGAAAAACUGCAAAGAAGACGAUUCGCUACUUCCGAAUCGCUGCAUCCAGCUCCUCUAGUCUCCUCGAUUGGCCCCCUUCGCCGUUGUGAUCCCCUUAGUUAACUUUUUUACUGUAUAUUGAGUAGAGUGCCUGUCUGUGAUUCGGGUUUGGAUAUUCUCCCGUCUUCCCUAUCGAGCAAUCCCUCUCUCUUUACCUGCUACUGUGUUAAGGCUUCCCUUCUAACAGCAAAUAGGCUAGACCAAGCGCUCGAAAGCAAGUAAAGAAUUAGCUCAGGUGAACAGAAAGAAGAUAGAAUAAAAAGAAGAAGAGGAUAUAGAAAAGGAAAGGUAUCCCCCAUUGAAGAAGCUGGUAGUUUUUCAGGUGGAUUGCUUUUCAUAGCUAUCCUUCAUACCCUUGCGAUUCUACUUUUCGGAAAGAAUGUGUUGGUAUAGAAUCUAGCAGCAAUCCUUCUUGCUAGGCUAGUCUUAACUGAAGAAGUCAUUUCUAGACUCAGCAGUUCAGCCCACAACUCACUAACUACAGCUUCUAUCUCCUCUAGGUCCCAUUAAACUGAUCCUUAGUCCUUCUCCCCCGCAACCAGGCCUAAAUUAAGGUUUUCCUUAUGAGAUGGGAUGCUCAGUAAUCGACUGCUUCUCUCGAGAUGCGAAGAAUAGCUUAAAUAAAGACUCUCUUUGGUCCUUUCGAAGCAGAUAUUCGUACGUCCAUUGGGUUACUUUAGGGUAGCACUGGUUUCAGCUUGAGAGCUUUGCUUCCUCCUAUAGCAAAGUCUGACUCUUGGAUCGGAUCAACGGUUUUUUCGUAAAAUGGUCUUUCAUAUUCAAAUUACAGAUAUUAAAAAAUCUAUCCAAUUCAAAUUGUUGUACCAAGCUUCCCUUCUUUAUAAGUAAGAAUAAGUAAGAAAUAACUUUACUUGUUCAAGUCAGUCUAGCCAACUCCCCUCACUCUAUCGAGUAAGUAAUCCAUUCCCUUCGAAUCUAAGGCUCAAUGAUGGAUCCGGGCGCUUUCCAGAGGCGAAGACUGAAACUUAUAUCACCUGGCUCCGGGUGGACCAUACUCCACCUUACGUCCAGUGGGUAGCUCCGCUCAGACUUCUACUUAAAAAAAAGGUGGUUGGACCUAUGCCUACUAUGUCUGUGAGGAAGUUGGGCUUCUACAUCUUGAUUAACCGGGUGACUCAUGGGAUUAAAUAAUAGUUCAUUCUGGAUAGCAUGGCCUGGGCUGGUGAUCUGGGAUCUAUUCUAAGUCUCCCUAUGGGAGAAGAUGAUGAAAGGAUAAAAAAAAGCAUCUAUUGACAAGUCGGAGUCGGUCUUAGUGCCUUAGCACAUCUGUCUUUGCUCACUCCAUGUGUGUGGAGUAGGCAUCCUCCGCACAUGCGGGUGAUGCGACGUGGCUUACAGUAGACUAGACGAUAGACUAGAGAUCAUUCGGAAAGGAUCUCCCUCGAAAAUGGGGGGUCGAUCCUCCCGGUGAACUGACCGUACCCCAAACCGACCGCAUGACUGAUUGAUGUGAUGGUCUUCAGUCUACCCUCUCCCUUGUCAACUCUGAACGAAUGCUUAGUUAGCCGUGAAUGAGAACUCUUGUUGGCCUGGAUAGCAUGGCCUGGGCUGGUGAUCUGGGAUCUAUUCUAAGUCUCCCUAUGGGAGAAGAUGAUGAAAGGAUCAAAAAAAAGCAUCUAUUGACAAGUCGGAGUCGGUCUUACUGCCUUAGCGCAUCUGUCUUUGCUCACUCCAUGUGUGUGGGGUAGGCAUCCUCCGCACAUGCGGGUGAUGCGACGUGGCUUACAGUAGACUAGACGAUAGACUAGAGAUCAUUCGGAAAGGAUCUCCCUCGAAAAUGGGGGGUCGAUCCUCCCGGUGAACUGACCGUACCCCAAACCGACCGCAUGACUGAUUGAUGUGAUGGUCUUCAGUCUACCCUCUCCCUGUCAACUCUGAACGAAUGCUUAGUUAGCCGUGAAUGAGAACUCUUGUUGGCUGGUAGCUCCAUGUAAGGUUAGCUCGAAAGCGAGUUCGGAAGAAAGCUGUGAUUACCUGGGGUUAAGUUGACCUUCUUUCUGCGGUACGGCUAUUAGUCUUAUUAGAGUCAACCCAGAUCAUGCAUCACCCUUGACUCUCCCAUCCUUGGUAUAGCUCUCCUCUCUCAUCUGCUCUCGGGGAUAGACUAUUGAUCUGACUCUCAUGGUCAAUCAGUUUCAAGCUUGAAGGCAAGUGCCGCCUUCAUCAAGUCUUAUUGCACUAGCAUCAACUAUGGUUGUUCCCACCACCAAUACUGCUUAUUCUGCUAAAACUGAAAAGAGACAGGACAUCUUAUGCGAGACGGAAAAGUCAUAAAGUCAAGUGCUAACGUGCAGCUCCCAUUCCUCCACCAAAUCGCAAGUAUAAGUAAACAAAUCCGAAUUGGUGGAUUCGGCAGCUCCGUGAGGCAUCAUGCCAUUCCCGAUGGAGAGCCCCCCAUCGGCACUGAAUAGUGCUCGCAAAAGACAUCCUAUUGCCCAGGCAAGUCCCCCCGCGAGGCCAAAUUUAAAUAAAGCAAAGGAGAGGACUCGACUACCAAGAGAUAACCCUAUUUUAAAUAGUAGAGACUGAAAGAAAGCACAAAAACUAAGAUCACGAACGAAAAGAUAAACUUCUUUCGCAAUUCAUGCUUUUCUGUUUUUAUGACCAGAUAUUUUUUCUUGAUUUCCAUUUCAAAUUGUUCUCUGGACUUUUUAUCAAUAUGAGGUGAUCGUAACACAAUAUAUAAGACUCGUGAUUCAGGCAAUCCAAUCUUCCGUGUGUAAGGCAGUAGCCCCCCAAAAUUGUUUUCCAAAAAUGGGUGAUCAAAAGAUCGAAUCACUAUGCGUAUCUUGGUGGUCAUUACUUUCAAAUUUCUUUUUGGCUGACUCCUCUUCCUGUUCUAUUGAUCAGAAGCAUCCAGCAGCGCCACGCCAGUAGAAAGAGGCUGUGCUGGGCUGUGCACUUUCAGCCCAUCACAUCAAGGUGACAGGAUUCGAACCUAUGGCCCUCUAUACACAAAACAGACGCCCUGACCAGACUGCGCUACACCUCGUCUCAACCCCUCAGCAUAUAGAUCCAUCAGAUCGAUGAAGACUCGAACCGAACUCUCCCAUCCUUUUGGGCAUAGGGACACGAGAACAAGAUAUGGCGACGCCAAAAAGCCGUAUAGUGCAGGAGCGCUCACAUUUGAUUUUGGCUUCCUCUUUAAUUAACUUAAAUUUAAGAAAACUCGGCUCAGCUACCUGUCCUUUGGACCCAAAGCCCUCUUAGAAGUGGAUUCGAACCACUGACACAAGGAUUUUCAGUCAUUUGCUCUAACCAGCUGAGGUACCUGAACCACUUUUCUAAAGUAUGUUUUCUUCAUCGAAUAGCGCCCUAGCUUACUUACCACUUGACUAGUUAGGGAAAAGCCCUUUACUAAUAACAAGAAAGAAAAGGCUUUUUUCGUUUGUCAAGCUUUCGAGCAGCUUUUUCAACUUCCGCCUAAUCUCCUCUCCCAACAUGCAUGCUCAAGAACCGAGAGCCACCCAGGGACUGCCGGAGGGAGCUUGCUUAUAAAAAGAAGAUAGGUCGGUCAAAACAACGCGCAACGGGCUCUCCGCUCACUAAGUAGUGCUAUUCUGUCCUUCGGGGGACUCCACCAACACCAAGAGGUUCUUUCUCUCACGUAAUUUCGCCCGCCCGUUCCACUUCCGUGCCAGAGGGAAUGGGAUUCGAACCCAUGAUACAAUCUUCUUGUAUGUCGAUUUAGCAAACCAAUGCCUUACGCCACUCAGCCAUACCUCCAAGUUGUUGAUUAGAAUUUUAUGUGCGGUUGGUUGCCCGAAGGGCUAUCCAAUCCGAUCAACUGCGUAAGCCGUAUCGCGCUAGCGCGCGUACUCUUCCUCUAUCUAUGAGAGAGACUCCAUAAAAAUCUGCCACUCGUUGGGCGACGCCCUCUUUUCUAUGAACACCCCACCACUGAAUGAUGAACUUUGCCACUCUUCGCCUCCGACCAGGAGAGAACACAGAGUCAAGCCAAGCCCUUACCCGCCUGAAUUGAAUGAAUAUCUCCUUCGUCUGGUCGAGAAGGGAGAAAGCCCGGGGAACUGGACUGUGACUCUUCUAUUACAUUACGGAGAAGUCCAUUUUCGUCAUGAUCGAUCCACGUCCUACCGUAGUGCUCGGAGAACCUGGCUUGCUUAGCUUACAAAGCUAGCUUACUAACGCGAAGGCCUUUCCUUCACGGGCUUACUUAGUGCUUGUGCUAAGGAGCAAGAAAACGGAUGCGUUAAGGUUGACGCUCGACCCAAACAAGCAACGACGUUCGAGCCCCUAUCAGAUAAAGCCUUGGUAAAGCGCGCUAGCGCGCUUGACUUGGAGGUUCGCGCAUCCUCUUGCUGGGAGAGGGGCUAAUGCCACUCGACUGGUUGGAGAGGGGGUAAGUUAGAGUCAGGAGUUUAGGCUUUCGCGCAGCUCAAUCCCUUGCUUGUUGUUUUUGAGCCGGAGCUCGCUGGGUAGUGAAGUGGUCCGUGAAGGUUAAAUCACACUUGUGUUAAGCAAGCCGAGUAGUCAGACUUAACAUUGAUUGAAGCAGUUGUUGGAGAGAGGACACCAGUCAGACCUGCAAGCACUAGGUAGUACGCAGCGGCAGUUUUCAAUCAUACAAUGUGUACUCGUAGUCUGACUUUUAGCGGUAGUCAGCUGUCCUCGUUCUCCUCUUUUCAUUGUCCUAUUGAGUAAGGGUCGGUGUUUGCAAAAAUGUCGAGCCGACGGGGUCAGGUACCAGUAGUGACAAUGGCAAAGGGGGGGAGCUGGACAUUGCUGAACUGGAAGAGAUUGCUCAGGAUGAGUGUCUGGGUAACAAAGCCGAGAAGGGUGUAGUCAAGGUGCAAGUUUAACGAGCGAGGAGAGUGAUUUGGCCCAUAGAAGCGAGGAUCUGGAAGAGAGGGUUGAUACUGGGUCAACUAUGGCAGUGACUGAGGGGGACUUGUUCUGUGAUAAACAAAUGAUUCCAAACAAGAACCUCAGGUCAGCCAAUCCUAAGAAAAGAGGUGAACCUGAAGCAGUAAGAGUAAGCGUUCAGGUGCUGGUGCUAUGACCUUUUAUCCACCUUUUUUGAAUCGAAUGAUUCAGCACUCUCAGAAAGCGGAUCAAAGGCUUCCUAUUCAACGGAUUCGGAUUAUUCGACUUUAGAUGCUUCGAUGCUUCCUCGGUCGCGCAGUACGUACUUAUGUUUGGAGAGUCUAUUCCUUACUUAGCUAGGACUUUGAUUGACUAGAGUAGCCCCUCUGUAUCCGAAGGCGCCUUUUUGUUUAUGCACCUGAAACGGCUUUCGAUUUGAAUUACUUAUAGUAAAGUGGAUCGACCCCGUUUAGUAGUGACAAUGGCAAAGGGGGGAGCUGGACACUGCUGAACUGGAAGAGAUUGCUCAGGAUGAGUGUCUGGGUAACAAAGCCGAGAAGGGUGUAGUCAAGGUGCAAGUUUAACGAGCGAGGAGAGUGAUUUGGCCCAUAGAAGCGAGGAUCUGGAAGAGAGGGUUGAUACUGGGUCAACUAUGGCAGUGAUUGAGGGGGACUUGUUCUGUGAUAAACAAAUGACUCCAAACAAGAACCUCAGGGCAGCCAAUCCUAAGAAAAGAGGUGAACCUAAAGCAGUAAGAGUAAGCGUUCAGGUGCUGGUGCUAUGACCUUUUUUCCACCUUUUUCAAAUCGAAUGAUUCAGCGCUCUCAGAAAGCGGAUCAAAGGCUUCUUAUUCAACGGAUUCGGAUUAUUCGACUUUAGAUGCUUCGGAUGCUUCCUCGGCCGCGCAAUACGUACUUCUGUUUGGAGAGUAUGUUCCUUACUUAGCUAGGACUUUGAGUGACUAGAGUAGCCCCUCUGUAUCCGAAGGCGCCUUUUUGUUUAUGCACCUGAAACGACUUCCGGUUUGUUUUUCUUCAAACCCCAAUCCGCUCUCGCUCGCCGCUACUAAUGGGGUCUUGGUUGAUUUCCCUUCCUUUAGCUACUAAGAUGUUUCAGUUCGCUAAGUUUGAAAAGUCCAAACAGCGCAGCCGCGGAGCUUGGAUACGGUUUCCCGAUCGGAGAUCCAUGGAUCACAGACGGUAUCUCCCCAUGGCCUUUCGGCUAUGAAAGCGUCCUUCCUUCUCAAUGCCCGGGCAUCCAUCCAAUGCAUUCUUUUCGAUCUUGUACCCAGCCGGCAAGAAAACGAAUGCGCGAACGCGGCUUUCACGCAGCUCAAUCCCUUGCUUGUUCGCUUUGCAUAGGCUACACAAGCGGUACACUUAACACCAAGCCAAUCUCCAAGAAAAAAGUGAACUACACGUAACUACAUUUGUGAACUGGGAGGGACGGAAUCUACACUACGAUCUUUCUUCUCUUAUGAAAUUUCUAGUUACAGAAAUAGAUCAUUUCUAAACCGGAAUCUUAGGAUACCACCACUAAUAGAAGGACAAGGACCGGAGACUUGAACACCAGCCAGAUAGGCAUUCACCAACAAAGACUAGCACAUCGCUUACUGAUGAAAGACCGUCUGUUGGAUACACCAUUCCUACUACUACUGAAUCGAACAAAAUAGCGAUUCUGAAAAAAAUUCUCUUUUUUAAGAAGUUGGGGAAUCUAGGCCUAAUCUAUUAGAAUAGGUCUAGGCUGCCAGGUCGAAGCCUAAAGACAUUCAAGGUCAAAACCAUUCCACUCGAAAACCAUCCUUCAAAGAAAGUCAAAGACUGGCGGACCGCAUACGCGCUUACUUUUUUUUGUUUGAUAGGCUGAUCCCUAGGCUGAAACUUAUAUGCUUCUAUCACACUCUUCUUUCGAGAGAAUAGCCCCAAUGACGAUGAAUUAGGGUCGUAGAGCGGGUCAAUCCUUGGAGCUUUCUCCAUGCCAUGCCCGAAAGAGAAAACUUGGUGUGAAUCGGGGUACAUACGCUCAUGCUCGUCUAACUAAUGUACUGAUGUUAUUCCUAAUAUGGCUGCCUGGAGAAUCCGUAGCUGCUAAGGAAGAGGGUCUAGCCAUAACGGAUUGAUGUGGCAUAGCGGCGACUGGAAUCAAUCUGAAUGAAGCUUCAAGCGUAGUUCUGGGGCUUCUCCUAUACCCCGCCGACAAGGAGUGGAGGAAGAUUAGGUGGGGAAGGUCAUAGUGAAGUCAGCAAGCUGAAAUGUAGCCGCCCCUCUUUGAUUGUGCACAACCCCUGCCACGAGACACCUAAUCGAAGAAGCGCCUUCCUCUCAUCUUUUUUAUAAUUCAACAUCCAGUUCAUAGAUAACUGCCUACUCCCACCUCGAUCGAGAAAGAGAUCUAAGGCUUCUUUUAAGAAAGUAAAUCAGGAACAGAUGGUCUGCCCCUAGCUCUCAAAAAUAUCUAUAUUUUGCUAUCAAAGGAGUGCUUUCAUUCCCUGCCACCCGCUUUUUUAAUUGGAUGUUCCUUAUCGGCAUCUCAUGAAAAAAUCUUUCAUGAUCCAUUCUUUCGGAAUUGGAUAUAGAAUAGUUGGGAUAUUCCACUGGGAGGGAGAGGCGGGGGUGACAUCAGAAGUAGGAUCGUCGAACGGAUAGCAGCAUCACAUUGAGAAUUGACUCGUCGGAUUAAUCACUUAGACGGAGAGUUCCCCAUAUUCAAUUUCAUUGGCAACCGAAAUAGAUCUAAACAGCGUGCCCAGAGCCAAGGAAGGAAAGGGCUGAAAUCUCCAUAUCUGAUCCAGCAAAAAAAACCCGACCUUAGCAGUGAUAGAGAUAGCAUAGCUGUAGACAGGGGGAGGGCCCGGAUUACCUUUUCUAUUAGAAUAAGGAAGGGAAUCGCUUUGAUUGCUUGCGACAUCUUAUCGAUGCUCGUUAGCGGUGAAGUCCCUCAAACCAAAAGUUUCAAAAGCAGGCCGGGGCCGGGCCUACGAGAGAAAUUAACUUUACAUACUGAUAUCGCAUACCGAAGGGAAGGCCUUAUUGUACCACUCCCCCUAACCUUCCGCCUGAACUGAUAGAAGUUAGUUGGCUUGAGCUGAGCGUCUCUUACAAAAAAGGUGCCCUAGUCGCCUCGGUGGAAUGCAUUGAAGAAAGGAAUCCACUCUCAACCCUUUCAUUUUAUUUAAUAGAAUGGUAAGCCGGUCUUAUUCUUUUAUACGAGUAAACAACUUUUGCUCUAACUCCUUGAGGAAAAAGUCUUGCAUCUCGCCCAACUCCUACAAAGCCCACCCCCGAAGGAGAAUUUGUUUACUCGUAAAUGAAGCAUCCGAAUGCAUUCGGCUUGCUUGUCUCAAUCAAUUUGAUUGCUUUAACUCGUCUCAUGAGCUCCUAUCUCUUUAUGAUCUCUGGGCCUUCCCGCUAUGAGAUAUUCCCGGCGCAGAAGCAUAUUCAUGCAUAAUACUAAAAUAUGAAUUUACCCUCUCCAUAUAGGGGUAGGAAUCCCUAGAAGAGGAUAGAAGGUCAUUUUGUCAUCAGUGGAAAAGCAUGCGUGAUAAGGAUACUCCUCUAUGCGAAUGUUCUUGCUUUCAAAGGACGGGGAGGAGGAAGGGAGUUUCGGGAACAAAGCCCCCGGAUUUUAAAGUGAAGCCCUACCCUAGUAAUAUCUUUUCCCUAUCUAAGCUAUAUCAACAUAGCCAACUAUAAAACAAAUGCGCUUGUCAAUUAAUUCUUGGUGUAAUACGUAAAUGAUUGGUGUCAGAAUUUUUCACUGAUCAGUCUCAUCCGUGUAAGAAUUAGGAAUUCGUCUUCCAACUCGUCCCGGAAUGGGCGUUAUGGCAAAGAACAAGAAGAACACAAAAGGAGGAAUUUGUCCAAUAGUAACAAAUGGUGCCUCCACAGGUUGACAUCCGAUCCAACCUAGUAGUAAGCGAUCCGCCAAAAGCAACCAAAAUAUUCCUUGGUGAAUAGGGCGAAAACUUGAACUACGCACGUACAUACUUUUAAAAAAAGGUAAAGCCAACAGACAUAUAAAAACAGGUGCUAUUGCGGCUACACCUCCCGAUUUGUCAGGUAUACUACGAAGAAUGGCAUGGAUCGGUAGGAAAUACCAUUCCGGCACAAUAUGAGGCGGGGUGGGCAUCGGAUUAGCAGGUAUAUAAUUGUCGGGAUGCCCCAAAACAUUAGGAGCAUAAAAAAUCCAAAUGGAAAAAAAGAUAGCAAAAGCUACCCAACCUACUAGAUCCUUUACAUAAAAAUAAGGGUAAAAAGAUAUUUGAUCCAUCUCUGAAUGUACACCCAAUGGAUUAUUUGAUCCAUAUUGAUGCAAUGCGGCCAGAUGAAGAAGACUGGUGCCUACUAAAAUAAAGGGGAGUAAAUGAUGAAGACUAAAAAAAUGAUUUAAGGUGGCAUUGUCCACAGAGAAACCACCCCAAAGCCAAGUAACUAUGGUAUCUCCUACUACAGGUAUGGCGCUAGCUAAGCUUGUAAUUACUGUAGCUCCCCAGAAGCUCAUCUGACCCCAAGGUGGUACGUAUCCUGUAAAAGCUGCCACAAUCAUUAAUAGGAAGAUUACAACUCCGAGACACCAAACAAAUUCCCUAGGACUGCUAUAACUCGCAUGAUAUAGACCACGAAAAAUAUGAAGGUGAACCACAAUGAGAAACCUACUUGCCCCAUUAGCAUGCAUAUAACGGAGCAACCAGCCCCGUUCAACAUCUCUCAUAACGUGUUCCACGCUGUUGAAAGCUAGAUCCACAUGAGGUGUGUAAUGCAUAGCUAAAAAAACGCCAAUCACUAUCUGAAUUACUAAACAAAUACCAGCUAACGAACCGAAGCCCCACCAAUAACUGAGAUUGCUCGAGGUUGGAUAAUCUAUCAAAUGUUGAUUAAGUGUGGAGGAUAUAGGUUGUUUUAGAAGAGAUAAUCGUUGGUUCCUUAUAGUCAUUUUUAUCUCUUUCCUAUCGUGACAACUCUGGUUCCCCCACCUUUUUU